rfam:Triticum aestivum genome assembly, contig: Triticum_aestivum_CS42_TGACv1_scaffold_193899_3AL
AUUAUACUCCCUCCGUCCCAAAAUUAUUGUCUUCGAUUUGUCUAGAUACGGAUGUAUCAAGUAUCUAGACAAAUCUAAGACAAGAAUUUUGGGACGGAGGGAGUAUUUC